GGUGGCAGCGACAACACGGAAGUGUUGCAACAACAGCCGCGGUGAUUCUCAGAAGUGGGGAAUCCUUCACGCCCAUCUGAACGGAGCAGCAAACUCCUGCUCCCCCUGCCCGAGUCAGACCCAUUUCUUCAGUGCUCUGGGGGCUGUCUGGUAAAUGCAUGACAGGAAACACAAAAACAGAGUCUCCUCUAGUUGUAAAAAUGCUUGAAAGUUACCUCGGCUGUAAGGAAAAGGAUCACCUGGAGGGGCUGAGGAAGCUGCAGCCCCACAGCUGCUGCUCCAGCUGCUUGUGCAAAUCUGGGGAAUUCCAGACCAGGCUGGCAGCACCUGGAAUCUGAGAAUCCCAGAAUGGUUUGGGUUGGAAGUUACCUUAAAGCUCAUCCAGUCCCACCCCUGCCAUGGGCAGGGACACCUUGCACUGUCCCAGGCUACUCCAAGCUUUGUCCAGCCUGGCCUUGGACAUUUACAGGGAUGGAGAGUCCACAGCCUCUCUGUUCCAGGGCCUCAUCAGCCCUGUAGUAAAGUAUUUCUUCCUAAUUUCUAAUCUAGACCUUCCCUCCUCUGCCUAAGCCUGCUCCUCUUUUCCCCACAGGCAAGGGAAUACUCAGAUAUCCCUUUGAUUUCGGCAGGGUGGGCUAAUCUCCAGGGGAAUUGGGAUAUUAUUCCUCUUCAGCUGAAGCAGAGUCGGUGCCCAGCAGAGUUCACCAGCAGCUCCCGGGGAGCUGUGGCCAGAAAGUGGGCCAGUAACACAAAGGGCCUUCAAAAGUCUCUUAACCAGCAUCCAUUCCCCAGGUUAAGCUAAAAGAACCGGCAGCAAAUCCAUGGAUUUAGCUACAGGCGAUGAACACGAUUCCACAGCUCCCCUGGGGAGCUCCCAGAGGAGAUGUCACAGAAGUGGCAACGUGAGAGCCCGGGGCUGGCUGGAGCCUGCAGGCAUUGCCACUUGUCCCUGGAGCCUGCCAGGAUCCUGGAGGAGGGCACCUGGACACAGCCCUCGAGUGCAGGAGAGCACGGCCGAGCUAAACCAGGAGCAGGGCAGGGGAAGACUGUUCCCUGUGUUCCUGUGAUCCCUGUGUUCCCUGUGUUCCCUCUGCUCCCUGUGUUCCUGUGUUCCUUCUGUUCCUUGUGUCCCCCGUGUUCCUUCUGUUCCCCGUGUUCCCUGUGUUCCCUGCAUUCCCUGUGUCCCCCGUGUUCCCUGUGUUCCUGUGUUCCUGUGUUCCCUCUGCUCCCUGUGUUCCCUCUAUUCCCUCUGCUCCCUGUGUUCCCUGUGUUCCUGUGUCCCCUGAAUUCCCUGUGUUCCCUGUGUCCCCCGUGUUCCUUCUGUUCCCUGUGUCCCCCGUGUUCCUUCUGUUCCCCAUGCUCCCUGUGUCCCCUGUGUCCCCUGCAUUCCCUGUGUCCCCUGUGUCCCCUGAAUUCCCUGUGUUCCCUGUGUCCCCCGUGUUCCUUCUGUUCCCCAUGUUCCCUGUGUCCCCCGUGUCCACUGCAUUCCCUGUGUCCCCUGUGUUCCUGUGUCCCCUGCAUUCCCUGCAUUCCCUGCAUUCCCUGCAUUCCCUGUGUCCCGUUUCCCAAGUGCCUCCUGGAGCCCCUUUAGGCACUGGCAGGGGCUCUGAGCUCUCCCUGGGGCCUUCUCUCCUCCAGGCUGCGCUUUGGUCCCCCGGAGUAAAGGGAGAUCUUCGGAGUGCUCUCGUUGCCCCAGCAGCCAGGCAGCCCCAUCAGUGGAUGAAACACAGAGGCUGUGUAGGAGUGCAAAUCAACCCUUUCUGGAAAUGCAUUUCCAGUGGUGCAUCCCCGUUUGCCUCGGCAGCCUUGGAGCUGCUCAGCUGUGACGGGGAUCAAAACCAAUUUUGUUGUUUAUCCCAGUAUUUAUGGAGCUCACAGAAAUGCACGUACAGAAGAUUCCACGUAGGUGGAAAACAAGGAGCAUCAUCAUCACCCACUGAAGUGUUCUGCCACUCCUUCUCAAAACAGAAACAAAGGAAUCUUCAGAUCAG